rnacentral:rRNA from 1 species
AUGAACGCUGGCGGCGUGCCUAAUACAUGCAAGUCGAGCGAACGGACGAGAAGCUUGCUUCUCUGAUGUUAGCGGCGGACGGGUGAGUAACACGUGGAUAACCUACCUAUAAGACUGGGAUAACUUCGGGAAACCGGAGCUAAUACCGGAUGAUAUUUUGAACCGCAUGGUUCAAAAGUGAAAGACGGUCUUGCUGUCACUUAUAGAUGGAUCCGCGCUGCAUUAGCUAGUUGGUAAGGUAACGGCUUACCAAGGCAACGAUGCAUAGCCGACCUGAGAGGGUGAUCGGCCACACUGGAACUGAGACACGGUCCAGACUCCUACGGGAGGCAGCAGUAGGGAAUCUUCCGCAAUGGGCGAAAGCCUGACGGAGCAACGCCGCGUGAGUGAUGAAGGUCUUCGGAUCGUAAAACUCUGUUAUUAGGGAAGAACAUAUGUGUAAGUAACUGUGCACAUCUUGACGGUACCCAAUCAGAAAGCCACGGCUAACUACGUG